AUUAAUUUAAGAAUAACUAAAAUCUGUUUUAAAGUUGUAUGCUGCUUUAUGAUUUAUAUAUUCCUUAAUUUAUAUACAUCUAGAAAAUAUCUUUGAUUGGAAUGUUAAGCAGUUGUUUCUUUAUUUAUCAGCCGAAUAUUCAACAAAAAAUAAUCUGAGUUACCCUUAUGUUUUGUUACCAGCAUAGCCUGAGGUAAUUCGUAGUUAAGAGGUGAGUCUACUUCUGUAUUGUAUUUGAACUGUAUAUUCAUUUUCCAGGGAUGACAAAUUAAUCAGCUUUAUUUGUUGAUGGGUUUGAUUAGUUGACUGGAAUCAUUAGCCCUUCAAUUCUUUGUAUAUUUAUUUUGAGCCUAUCUUUUAUGGAGGGUACUUUGUUGGGCAGUAAGAAUAUUGGGUUGAAUAAGUUUUGAUCCCUGCCCUUGAGAAUCAACAAAGCGUUAAACAGAAAAAGCUGCUCUGAAGAUAAGAGUGACAGCUGUAAGCACAAGUAUUCUGCAAGUCUCAGCACAUGAUCCAAAUAAAUAUGUCACCUUCUUGGUGAUGGAUAUACCUGAGUCAGAUUCAUAACUCCGAUUUACUCCAGCAUGGCUAGUAAGUUAAUACAGUUUGGAAUUGGACAGAUCACUGCUUUGGUGAAUGAAUAAAUAUACAUUAAAAAGUCAUUUUACUUUGGCAUAUCUUUGAUUCUGUGUUCUUCAGUCUUGAUGUUUCUGUUUAAUGUUGGAGGGUUGAAGGUGAAGAUUUGCACCCCUCUUUAGAAAUUGACUGUUCCACAUUUCUUUUCAGUUAAUGCUGAGCAGUUGGCCUCACAAGCUAAUGGAUGGUAGCUUCCUAAGAACACAUGUCUUGGCGUUUAGAAGUGGUUACAAAUGUGCUUUUUCUCCAUUUCGUAAUUCUAAUUUUCCAAGCGAAACUUGUUUAUGAUAUGUCAAAGCAGUGGCUUAAAAGAAUUGUCUGACUUCUAGGAUUUUGCCAUAGUAAAACAAUAAUGUGCCUAUGUUUUCUUAAUUUAAAGGAAAAAAAAACCUAAAAAGGCUUCAUUUCUUUAGUGAUUCCUUGAUAAUUUAAAAACCUUGGAGAUACAUAAAUUUUCAUGAGAUAGUCUAGCAGCAGUGACCUGUGUUAGCAGUGUGAUCUACAGGGAUUAGUUCUCUCUGUUUCCCUGGCAUCAUGCAGCGUCCACAGAAUUGGAGGGUCUCAGAAAUUUUACAGGGAAAAGUGAUUUAAAAGAAUGCUUCCCUUCUAGGGAUUCUAGUGCCUUCUGUUUCUCCUAGGGCCUCACUCUGGAGAGCACAUAAGUCUAGAACCUUGCAUUAAACUUUGAGGGCUCUAAAUAAUACAGUUGCCUUGGCGAAAGGGGUGAUUUCCUUUAGGGAAGUAUCUUUCUUUUGUCCAGGAGAAGUUGCACUCCUGUAUCUAUCCACUUGUUACCAUUUUGUCUGCUUUAAGAUUUUAGCAGUUCCCUCAAAGUUGGAUUCAUUCAUGUAAAUUAAACUCUUCCCUUAACAUACUUUUGAAGUGACAGAGAUGCUGUAUCUGUUGCAUUAUCUAAUUAAUUUUUAUUUUAACGUAGGCUCUGAACCAGGUUGUCCUGUGGGACAAGAUUGUUCUGAGAGGUGAUAAUCCAAAGCUGCUGUUGAAAGAUAUGAAAACAAAGUAUUUUUUCUUUGACGAUGGAAAUGGUCUCAAGGGAAACAGGAAUGUCACUUUAACCCUAUCUUGGAACGUUGUACCAAAUGCUGGAAUUCUACCUCUUGUGACAGGAUCAGGACAUGUAUCUGUCCCAUUUCCAGAUACAUAUGAAAUAACGAAGAGUUAUUAAAUUAUUCUGAAUUUGAAACAGCAUAUUUUUAUACCUAAUGGAUUGUAUCUUGUUUAUCUCUUGCCUUGCAUCUUUAUUUGUUUUGGGUUGUUACCUUUUUUUUUUUUUUGGUGUAAGAAUGAACAUCAAAAGGCAUAUUUGAAGGGAAAGGUUAGUGUACUACUUAAUUUUCCAAACAAAAACAAACAAAGGCCAUCAGAAUGGAGUAUUAUAAGAGUAAGACAGCCACAUGAGAAGGAUUUGUGAAAUAUUUAUAUUUGAAGUAUUCCCUGUAUUUCCAUUAUUCUUUAUGGAAUAUGAAGUGAGCAUGGAGGGUAGUUAAAACUUUCAGGUGCCUGUGGAGUUAUGAGAACUCUAUUUAUGCCUUGCAUUUAUGCAAGUUCACAUUGGAUGUGAUUUAGAAGCAGACAUUCUCUAUUAUCUCUUUUAGGAUAUGUCUGAAUACUGGAAAAAUUAAUAUAAUUGUUGGUGAGAAGCCUGGUUUACAAAAUAGCAAAAAGUGAUGAAUUUUAUUCCAUUUGUCUUAGGAAUGCCCACAAUGCUUGUUUUUCUGACAGGUGACUAGCAACUUUCUCCACUAAAGACUAAAUACCUCUUUAUAUGCUGUAAAUCAUUCUAAAUCAUUUUAAAGUCUCUUAAGUCAACCAAAUGUGUGUCUUUCAGUGCUUUCUCUAAACAAGUUCCUUGGUAUUAUAUCUUUAUGUGAUUUUUUUUUUUAUUUUAACAUUGCCAUUGAACGUUGAAAAUGUUUGCAUGGUUUAUCUAGUGAGCAUGCCUAGUGCCACUGAGUGGUAAUUAUUUAAUUUUUUUUCUAGGUCCACAUUUGAAUAAUUAUUGGGGUAAUAAUAAUCAGUAUUUGUCGGUGUGCGUUUCCGUUUACAAGCACUCUCAUAUAUUUUACUGUAUGGGCUCCUCAAUAAUCUAAUGAGGUAAGUAGUGCAGAUGUUAGCUCUUUGCAGAUAAAGAAACAGACCCAGAAGUUUGUGGAAUUGCUUCAGGGUUAUUACAUAGCUAGCAAGGAAGGGUGUUAACCCGUGAACCCCAGAUCUGAUUCUUUAAGCAUAUCCUUUCUUCUAUACCUCUGAUUACAGACUAGUCAAAAUUCACUUAUAUAAUUUUUAUUAUAUUUUUUGUUACCCUGGACGCCCUUUCUAUUACCUAGAAGAGAUUUCCUAUCCUGUAUGGAAAUGACCAAUUUUCAAGUUGCCAACAAUUUAUAUAGAGGUAAUAUCUCACUCAUUCUCUGCAUAAAUUAAUUAUACUCAUGUUAAAAGUAUAAGAAUCCAAAUGUAUGUAAAAAUUAUUUAGAGAUUGAUUAUAUGAUCAUAUUUAACAUGAUUUGUUUCUACAGUGGGCAAAUAAGCAUCCUCAAAGGAAGCAGCUACAAAUCAGUCACCCUUAAAAGCAAGACCAAACACUGUAGGUAUACUAUCAGCAGUAACCAAAAAGGGCUAAUAUUUUCUAAGAAUAGCUUACAUUAGUGGCUUAACAUUUGUUAUACGUAUUUCAUAUGAAAUACAUCUCCGUUUAAUUGCAUUGGUUGGAACAGCUCUUGCCUGUAAGGGUAUGUGUUCUGUGAAGGUCAGUUGAAGGUCAGAAGAACAGUAUCAGGAAUGCUAGACUGGGUUUGGCUCCCAGCUUUUUCAUUAAAGUUUUCAGGGUCUCCGUUUCUUUAUCUGUAAAAUGACAGAGUUGGACUAGUUACCUUAAAUAGUAGUUCUUUUAUACCACACACGUCUGUAAAAUUUGUUGUAUCCGUUUGGCAGAGAGAUUGAACAGAAAAGCUCCUCAGUAAUGUGACGGCAGCAAGAUGAUUGAAAGACAAGUCAACACAUAAUUCAUAUUGAUCUGACUUUAUUUCUGUUAGAUUUUACACCCAGAAGAUUUAACUUCUUGUAUAGUUUGUACAAACUUAAAAUCUGUCGGCGUCAAAGCUUAAAAGUUGGGUGUGUUCUCCUUGAGGCGGGUGCACGUAAGAAGCCUGCAGCCUUAGCGAGACCCGGGGCUGGUUUGGGUGUUCAUGGGCCUCUGCAUGCGUGGAUCUGUGUUUGCUGGGGAUGAAUGUGGAAAUUGACUCCAGUUACUGUUGAGUCCAAGCCCACCCACUUUCUGGAGUUCAGUGGGAAAGAGGAGUAGAAAGGCCCCCGAGCACAGUGGGCGCGUUUGCUUUUACUCACGAGCGAAGGGAAACUGCUCGGGACGAGAGUGCCCCAACACGGGCGUGAGAAGCCCCCCUCCCAGGAGCUCACUUCUGGGUACGCACAGCUCUGUAAGUUCACUGUAAUUCUGCACGAAGAAGAUGGACCUGUGUUCAGUUGAUAAGCAUACCAUCGACCUCAGCGUCACUGUUUUCAAGAAGUCUUAGAAAGUCUCCACAAAGACCCAAGGCUUCACACUUUUAAUUAGAAACCUCUGAGCCCAGGGAUGAUCCUGGGAAGAGAAUAAUUGCAAGACACUCAUCUAAAGUAAUUAUGUUUAGAAAUGAGUUAAUUUUAAGAUGUUGUGCUUACAUGCUCCUUUUCUCUAGCAGUUUAACCUAGACAAGCAGCUAUAUCAGUGAUUCUGUUCCCCCAGUUGAUUACAUUUGGUUCCUUUAUGCUUAAAGGAAGAUAACAGAAAACUUCAGAAAUUCCUUAGGGUGUAAUAGGAAAAGGGGGUUAUUUUGAGCUUCUGUUUUUGGAAUUAUUUUACAGAUCUUUGGUGGGUCUGGCAACUAAGAGAUAGGCUUGAAGGCCACAAGGAACGUUUGUUCACUAUUCUAUCUAAAGCUUAAUGGUCUAAAGCUUUGGGUUUUUGGGGGUAUAGGUUAAUGGAGGUGUUAUUUUAUAAUGCUUUGAAUUGACCUGAAAUGAGUUUAUGGGGGGGGGGGGGAAACCAUAAGCUGUGAAUUUUGGUAGUAAACAUCUGUCCAUUUCAGACGCUUCCCUUGCUUUUAGCAGACAGCCUGUGUACCUUUUACGUGACUGCCAGUGGUUUAAAGAGAUCUGUUUCAAAAAGUGGUUGCAUGUUUUGAUGCAAUUUGGGAAACUGUUUACUUUACAAAUACAGAUUCAUAAGAAAAAAAUUCAUGAAAAUACUGAAGAUAUGUUUGAGGAUUUUCUUAAUUGCAAUAAAUAUUCAGCAUUUUUCUAAUGAAAGUGAAUUUUGUUUAUGAGUACAAGUAUUCAUUUUAAAAGACUUUCAGAUCGAUGCUUUUUUUAAUGUGAAGCUGCCGCACUAAGAGAAAAUGGCUGAAACCAAGUCUAGUAAACUUGAGGUUUUUCUCUUUUUUCCUUUCUUUUUUCCCCCCUCCCACCCCCUCUUUUUUUUUUUUUGGUGGGUGGGUCAGGGGAGGUCAGUCACACCUAAAAGAUCUUCUCCAGAGACUGCGCUCCUAUACUAGACUGUAAGCUCUCUGAGGGCAGUCUUGUGGGUUUAUCUUUGUAUCUUGCCCAGCGCCUAGCAGAGUGCUUUGCACAUAGGCGCCCAAUAAACACUGAUGGUGAACGAA